CCUUUCUACGGAGUACAAUUACACUUUAUUUUUGGUAAAAAUCUUAUAAGUACUAGUUUUAAAUUAAUUAAAUUUUUAAAACAUCACGAUGUCUUAUGAGUCUUGUGUGUUGGUGUAGCCAAAAGCACUCUAAUAUUCAGUUUUGAGAGUAUUUACUCUCUAAAUUAAUAGAUCUUUGAAAACUGAAUAGCAUAUAAAUUAAUAUGAUAACGACAUCAAAAUAUAUUUUGUGAAAAUAAUUUUGAUCCGAGUUAAGACCAAUUAUUGGCCUUUAUAAAUACCUUAAGAAUACAUCAAAAAACAUUUUUUUUAAUAGGAAAAAAUAGUUACUUAAACUUUUAAAUAAGCAAGAGUUUGUAGUGGAUGCCUUGGGUCUGGAAGUCGAUGAAGGACGUGAUUACCUGCGAUAAGCUUCGGUUAGUUGGAAAUAAACUAUGAGCCGGAGAUCUCCGAAUGAGGAAACUCGAUACAAGUA
rnacentral:misc_RNA from 1 species